rnacentral:rRNA from 1 species
GACGAACCACACAAACGUUAUUCGGAAUUACUGGGCUUAAAGGGUGCGUAGGCGGCGCGGAAAGUUGGGUGUGAAAUCCCUCGGCUCAACCGAGGAACUGCGCCCAAAACUACCGUGCUCGAGGGAGAUAGAGGUGAGCGGAACUUAGGGUGGAGCGGUGAAAUGCGUUGAUAUCCUAAGGAACACCCGUGGCGAAAGCGGCUCACUGGGUCUUCUCUGACGCUGAGGCACGAAAGCUAGGGUAGCGAACGGGG